AACGCUAGCUACAGGCUUAACACAUGCAAGUCGAGGGGCAGCAUGGUCUUAGCUUGCUAAGGCCGAUGGCGACCGGCGCACGGGUGAGUAACACGUAUCCAACCUGCCGUCUACUCUUGGACAGCCUUCUGAAAGGAAGAUUAAUACAAGAUGGCAUCAUGAGUUCACAUGUUCACAUGAUUAAAGGUAUUCCGGUAGACGAUGGGGAUGCGUUCCAUUAGAUAGUAGGCGGGGUAACGGCCCACCUAGUCUUCGAUGGAUAGGGGUUCUGAGAGGAAGGUCCCCCGCAUUGGAACUGAGACACGGUCCAAACUCCUACGGGAGGCAGCAGUGAGGAAUAUUGGUCAAUGGGCGCAGGCCUGAACCAGCCAAGUAGCGUGAAGGAUGACUGCCCUAUGGGUUGUAAACUUCUUUUAUAAAGGAAUAAAGUCGGGUAUGUAUACCCGUUUGCAUGUACUUUAUGAAUAAGGAUCGGCUAACUCCGUGCCAGCAGCCGCGGUAAUACGGAGGAUCCGAGCGUUAUCCGGAUUUAUUGGGUUUAAAGGGAGCGUAGAUGGAUGUUUAAGUCAGUUGUGAAAGUUUGCGGCUCAACCGUAAAAUUGCAGUUGAUACUGGAUAUCUUGAGUGCAGUUGAGGCAGGCGGAAUUCGUGGUGUAGCGGUGAAAUGCUUAGAUAUCACGAAGAACUCCGAUUG
rnacentral:rRNA from 1 species